UACAGAGGGUGCGAGCGUUGUUCGGAAUUAUUGGGCGUAAAGGGCGCGCAGGCGGUCGUUCAAGUCGCGUGUGAAAGCCCCCGGCUCAACUGGGGAGGGUCACGCGAUACUGAUCGACUCGAAGGCAGGAGAGGGAAGUGGAAUUCCCGGUGUAGUGGUGAAAUGCGUAGAUAUCGGGAGGAACACCAGUGGCGAAGGCGACUUCCUGGCCUGUUCUUGACGCUGAGGCGCGAAAGCUAGGGGAGCAAACGGG
rnacentral:rRNA from 1 species